UACGGGGGGGAGCAAGCGUUGUUCGGAUUUACUGGGCGUAAAGGGCGCGUAGGCGGUCAGCACAAGUCAGUUGUGAAAUCUCCGGGCUUAACUCGGAAAGGUCAACUGAUACUGUGCGACUAGAGUGCAGAAGGGGCAACUGGAAUUCUCGGUGUAGCGGUGAAAUGCGUAGAUAUCGAGAGGAACACCUGCGGCGAAGGCGGGUUGCUGGGCUGACACUGACGCUGAUGCGCGAAAGCCAGGGGAGCG
rnacentral:rRNA from 1 species